rnacentral:rRNA from 1 species
UACAGAGGUCCCAAGCGUUGUUCGGAUUCACUGGGCGUAAAGGGUGCGUAGGUGGUGGGGUAAGUUUGAGGUGAAAGCUCCGGGCUCAACCCGGAAAUGGCCUUGAAGACUAUCCUGCUCGAGGGUUGGAGGGGGACUGGAAUUCUCGGUGUAGCAGUGAAAUGCGUAGAUAUGCGGAGGAACACCGAUGGCGAAGGCAAUCCCCUGGACCUGUACUGACGCUCAUGCACGAAAGCGUGGGGAGCAAACAGG